UGAGCAAUCUGCCCUUCUCUUUGGAAUAAGCGUUGGAAACGACGUCUAAUGCCGAAUACGACCUCCUUUCGCAUGAUCGGAGGUGGAAAGCUCCGGCGGAGAAGGAUGAGCUCGCGGCCUAUCAGCUAGUUGGUGUGGGUAACGGCCCACCAAGGCGACGACGGGUAGCCGGCCUGAGAGGGCGACCGGCCACACUGGGACUGAGACACGGCCCAGACUCCUACGGGAGGCAGCAGG
rnacentral:rRNA from 1 species